CUCAAGGACUGGGACACCUGUCCCUCCUCCUCCACCCACGCUGCGGGGAACUGCAUGGCUCCUCCGGGCGGGGACCAUAGCUUUCCGCCUCAACGUACCUGGGGCUCGGCAUGCUGCGUUGAAUUUUGGAGUGGAUGAGGAGUGAGGGUGUGGCAGGGCGGCUGGAGCUGCCCAACUGCUGAAACUGCUGCAGGUGCCACAGCGGCUGGCUCCCUGAAAGCGUCCUCCUGCCUCUGAGACCGUAGCGCAGGAGGGUGCGAGUGCACCUCCGCAAGGCCUGACGCUGCUGAUCCACUUCCUCUCCCCACGAUGGGGACACACUUGGCGACAGUUCCAUCUGGGGAAGAGACCCAGCCGGAACCCAGGGAAGAGCAGGCUGUGAAAACUGGGCAGAAACUUGCGGCGACUCGGAAGACACUGCCAGGAAACCCUCCCCGGGCCUCCUGUGGGGCUUGUAGCAGCCGCAGGGGUUGGCUCUCACCUUCUAGUCCCAGCCAGGUUGUCUUGGAGUCAGCUAAUGGGCAAGGCCCCUACCUCUCUUAGGAUCUGAGGAUGGGAGGGGCUGCGUUUUUCCAGAGGAUCUGCACGUGUGCAGGCUGAGUGUUGAGACUUGAUUGGUGUCAACUGGCACUGCCUGCCCAUGAUGCACAAAAGCUACUGUAAGAAACAGGGUCCAUGUCUCCAGGGAGCAGGACCCCGUUCUGAGGCCACAACCCCGAGGGCAGUCUCCGCCUGCAGAGUCCUCCCUCUCGCACCGGCUCACCUCGUGGUGAAUCCCUUGGCUACGGUUUGGUGUGAGAAAAGAGAUGGGUGUUUCACUCCCUGCUGCAUCCCUGGUGACGGCCCUGGCAUUUCGGGGCAUGAGAUCUUUGCUUAAAGGUUUUGCGGUGGUCACUGCACAGGGGGUGGGGGUGGGGUCCCUUGGUGCAAUUUAUCCGAUUCUGCUGCGUGGAUGACAUCCACAGUGUUCCUCUCCAGUGGGGAUUAUCUGAGACCUUUCCGCAUGCCCGCACCCACAGUCCGCUCCCUCACGGCAGCAUGAACUCAGGAGGCGGGCGUUCCCACAGUCAUUACAUUUGCAGGGCCUCUCUAUGUCCACUCUGAUGCCUGAGGACCAGCGCUUCCACGAAGGUGUGGCCACGUCCAGUGCUGCUCAUUGGCUUCUCUCCUGCGGGAAUGUUCUGAUCCCGAACGGAGCCUGAGCAUGCGCGAAACCCUUCCCACGUUCACAAGGUGCUUCUCCAGUGUUCCAUUACAUCUCACCUAUGCACACUACAUGCAUACGGUUUCCACCGGCUGUGCGUGUCCCUAGAAGUCACAUUCACGGCGUUUCUCCCUGGGAGGAAUUCUCCCGUGCAUGGCUGCUCUGAGACCAUUUGCACCUGCGGCCACGCGUGGGCUCCUCGAGGCUUACAAACCAGGCUGGACUCCUGAAGCCCUAGCUGCACUUGGCACUCGGCGAGGUUUUUCUACAAAAUCUCAUCUCAGCCAUCUGAGUCCUUCACCAUUUAUCUUAUGAAUCCGCUCGAACGUACAAGGAAGGCCUCUCUGCCCUCCUGCUCCAGGGAGGAGGUUUUGACCCUCAGCUCCACCUCUGCGGCUGGCCCGGUCUCCGCAAACCUUUUUCUGCUUGGCCAGCUGGUGCCAUGCUAGGCUUUCCCACUAGGGGCGCCAGAGAAAGCGCGCGAGGCUGCGGAGGAGAGAGGGGCACACUCUUUCCGGUUUGCUUCCGGUUUUUUCCUCAGGCUUCCGGUCUGUUUGGUGCCCUGGUCGCGUGUCUUCCGAACUCUGCUGCUUCGCCCCGGCAAGAGCACUUCCUUCCGCGGCUGCUAAAACUGGUGCGCGGGUUCCCAACUUCGCAGAAGAGCUUCAUCGGCCCCCCGCUAGAGACCUCAGACCGCAGCCAUCGACGCCUCGCCUCGGGGAUCUGUCCCCACCCUCGGGGCCAGCCCUAGCGUAGCAGGUGCUCCCUGCAGUUUUUGCUUCUGAGAUAGAGUUCUCUUUUCAGCUCCUUCGGUAGUCACUUCGUACAUAGUGAUUCAUGAUGCGAAAUCCUCUCUGUUGAAAUAACUGACGAGGCCUCUGUCUUCUGACUGGACCCUGACUUCCAUGCCCUUUCCACUCUCACUCCAGUACAUGCCCAAACCCCAAUCUUUGUUGCUCCAGGCAUUGCCUCUGUGGCGCUGUGUCCCCUCCUUUGAACUCUGAUCCUUCUGCUCAGGCCCUUUCUCCCAGUCUGAACUCACCAUGAGUCAGGCCCUGUGCUAGGUGCUGGGAUGAAGCAGUGACUGACACAGGCCUGGACCUGUCCUUGGGAAGAGUGCGUCUGUGACACAGAUACUGUGCCAUGUGGCAAAGUAAGCGCGUGGGACAGCAGAGCCUUGUUUGCCAUUAAAGUAAUAUCACAAGUCUGUUAAGGUUGGAGAAUCAAGUGAACAUGCUGAAAAGUUAUGGGGAAUGUAGUCUCAUAGCUGGGGGAGCUGGGGGCCUUGUCAAUUGGUUCCCCCAGUCUGGAGAGCAAUCUGAGAGUAAGUAGUGACACUGUGUGUGCUGAGUGUGUCUGUGGGGGUGUUUUUGACUUGAAUGGAGACAUCAGCUCUUUGUGGGUCUCAAGUCUACUGGCUUUCAAUCAGCUCUUCUGCUUGACAGCUGCAGGUCUUGGGACUGCCCAGCCCCCAUAACCCUGUGAGUGCAUUCCUGAUAAUAACCCUCUUUCUCUUGUCCUCCCCCACCCCACAUCAUUGGUUCUGUUUCUCUGGAGAACCAUAAUACAUCAUUUACUAAUCAGGAAAUAGAUUCAGAGACAUUAAUAACUCAUCCAACCUCACAGUUAACUGUAGAGUUGGGCUUGAAAUUCCAAGGUCGAUUUUCUUAGCCAAUACACCAUGCUACAUAUAUGUAUGUAAAAAUAAAAACGCUUGUGAACUGAAAAGGGUCCAAACUUAAGCUCAUUUUGGUCCUUAAUUGCUAAUCCAUAGGCAUGUUUUGGUCCUUAAUUGCUAAUCCAUAAGCAUGUUUCGGUCCUUAUUUGCUAAUCCAUAGGCCUGCACACCUGCCCCCAAGGCCAUGG
rnacentral:lncRNA from 1 species